rnacentral:rRNA from 1 species
UGAGGAAUAUUGGUCAAUGGGCGAGAGCCUGAACCAGCCAUCCCGCGUGCAGGAAGAAUGCCCUAUGGGUUGUAAACUGCUUUUUCGCAUGAAGAACACUCCGGACGUGUCUGGAGCUGACGGUAGUGCGUGAAUAAGCACCGGCUAACUCCGUGCCAGCAGCCGCGGUAAUACGGAGGGUGCAAGCGUUAUCCGGAUUUAUUGGGUUUAAAGGGUGCGUAGGCGGCAUUCCAAGUCAGUGGUGAAAUCCUGCAGCUUAACUGCAGAACAGCCAUUGAAACUGAAGUACUUGAGUAAUCUUGAAGUAGGCGGAAUGUGUAGUGUAGCGGUGGAAUGCUUAGAUAUUACACAGAACACCGAUUGCGAAGGCAGCUUACUAAGGAUUUACUGACACUGAUGCACGAAAGCGUGGGGAUCAAACAGG